GCGGGUGUCGUAUAGUGGCUUAUUAUACUUCCUUGCCAAGGAAGAGAUGGGAGUUCGAUUCUCCUCACCCGCU
rnacentral:tRNA from 1 species